CCUACGGGACGCAGCAGUGGGGAAUAUUGGGCAAUGGGCGCAAGCCUGACCCAGCAACGCCGCGUGAAGGAAGAAGGCUUUCGGGUUGUAAACUUCUUUUAUUCGGGACGAAGAAAGUGACGGUACCGAAUGAAUAAGCCACGGCUAACUACGUGCCAGCAGCCGCGGUAAUACGGAGGAUGCGAGCGUUAUCCGGAUUUAUUGGGUUUAAAGGGUGCGUAGGCGGUCCGGAAAGUCAGCGGUAAAAGCCCGGGGCUCAACCCCGGCGAGCCGUUGAAACUGUCGGACUAGAGACGGCGAGAAGG
rnacentral:rRNA from 1 species